GAGGACUUGGCGGCGGCUUACCAUGCAGUCGAGCGGAACGAUACCAGCUUGCUGGUAGGCGUCGAGCGGCGGACGGGUGAGUAAUACUUAGGAAUCUACCUAGUAGUGGGGGAUAGCUCGGGGAAACUCGAAUUAAUACCGCAUACGACCUACGGGAGAAAGGGGGCAGUUUACUGCUCUCGCUAUUAGAUGAGCCUAAGUCGGAUUAGCUAGAUGGUGGGGUAAAGGCCUACCAUGGCGACGAUCUGUAGCUGGUCUGAGAGGAUGAUCUGCCACACCGGGACUGAGACACGGCCCGGACUCCUACGGGAGGCAGCAGUGGGGAAUAUUGGACAAUGGGGGAAACCCUGAUCCAGCCAUGCCGCGUGUGUGAAGAAGGCCUUUUGGUUGUAAAGCACUUUAAGCAGUGAAGAAGACUCCUCGGUUAAUACCCGUGGACGAUGACAUUAGCUGCAGAAUAAGCACCGGCUAACUCUGUGCCAGCAGCCGCGGUAAUACAGAGGGUGCAAGCGUUAAUCGGAAUUACUGGGCGUAAAGCGAGCGUAGGUGGCUUGAUAAGUCAGAUGUGAAAUCCCCGGGCUUAACCUGGGAACUGCAUCUGAAACUGUUAGGCUAGAGUAGGUGAGAGGAAGGUAGAAUUCCAGGCGUAGCGGUGAAAUGCGUAGAGAUCUGGAGGAAUACCGAUGGCGAAGGCAGCCUUCUGGCAUCAUACUGACACUGAGGCUCGAAAGCGUGGGUAGCAAACAGGAUUAGAUACCCUGGUAGUCGCGCCGUAACGAUGUCUACUAGUCGUUGGGUCCCUUAAGGACUUAGUGACGCAGCUAACGCAAUAAGUAGACCGCCUGGGGAGUACGGCCGCAAGGUUAAAACUCAAAUAAAUUGACGGGGGCCCGCACAAGCGGUGGAGCAUGUGGUUUAAUUCGAUGCAACGCGAAAACCUUACCUGGUCUUGACAUAUCUAGAAUCCUGCAGAGAUGCGGGAGUGCCUUCGGGAAUCAAAAUACAGGUGCUGCAUGGCUGUCGUCAG
rnacentral:rRNA from 1 species